rnacentral:rRNA from 1 species
UACGUAGGGUCCGAGCGUUGUCCGGAAUUAUUGGGCGUAAAGGGCUCGUAGGCGGUCCGUCACGUCGGGAGUGAAAACUCAGGGCUCAACCCUGAGCGUGCUUCCGAUACGGGCGGACUAGAGGUAUGCAGGGGAGAACGGAAUUCCUGGUGUAGCGGUGAAAUGCGCAGAUAUCAGGAGGAACACCGGUGGCGAAGGCGGAUCUCUGGGCCGUAACUGACGCUGAGGAGCGAAAGCAUGGGGAGCGAACAGG